UCCAAUACAAGCGCAACCUAACCUAGGAACUUAAAAAAAAAAAAACUGUUCUCUCCUCCCUCAGCCAAAGUCUCUCACAGCUCUUGCAAACCAUCUCGUGACCGGCGAAGGCACCAGCUCUCUCCUCCUUCUCAGAUGACCGGCGAAGCCACCGGCGAAACCACACUCACACACUCGCACACCCAAAUCCAAGGCGGCAAUUAACUAUACCCACGAGGCCACGACCUUUACCACUCUUUCCCCAAAAAACAACGAGCAACCUCCAAUACUGUCUCCACUUCUCAGUCUCCACUGCGCACUACUCUGGUCAGAAAAUUGCAUACUCGGGAUUAUUGAAUUGCAUAGAAUUGGUUUAGUUUUCUGGGAUGUUGAAGAUAUGCGAUGAAGCCGCUGCUCUUCGUGAGAUGCAUAGGCUAAAGUCGAGAAAGAGAUGGACGAUGUUCAAGGAGAUGUAUAUGCAGAUUAGUUUCAAGAUGAGCUACAAAGACACCAGCUUCCAUCAUAUAUGGUGAAGGAUAUAAAUGCAAGGUUGGAGAGGAUUGAACCAAAGCCUCGAUCUUCUGAUAGUGUUGUUAGUAGUAAUAGCGUUAAUGAGCCCAAGGUUAAUAAUCAUACUCAUAAUCAUAAUCCUAAGCGAAGCAGUCCCAAAGCCAAGAAUACUUCUCGUGAGGCAUCUCUGUUCGGAGGAGAUGGAGAUGUUACAGAGAAGCCAGUUGAACCUGUGAAAGUUUACUCAAAGAAGGAGCUGAUCAGGGAAUUUGAAAAAUUGCUUCAACACUUGUACCAGAAAAAGAUUGGUCUCACCGUAUUGCAGCCAUGCAGAGAUUUGAAGCCCUUGUAAUUGGAUGCAGACUCUCUUGAGUUCCCUCCAUCCACCAAUCUCUAACAGUUUUGCAUGGUUAAGGUGUUUAUUUCUGAAUUGUCUAUAGCGAGGAAAUAGUAAUACAUCAAUUUAAGCCAAACUGAGUCACCAACUUUUCUUCCCUGGCAUAUUUUGACUGCCAAUAUAUUUUCAGCAUCAAGGCCAUUCAAGGACCCUCAUCAGUGUUGAAGCCAAGCAUCAAAAGAAUGGACUGAAACAACACAACGUACUUGUAAUAGAUCCUGGUCAUGUUUUCACAACUCCAAGGGUGGGGCCCUGUACCAAAGAGGAGUUGGAUCAAGUUCGAGACAAGUGGGUUACUUACUUCAACGAUUGUGAACUACCCUCAGUGUAAUAAAUAGAGCAGGCUUGUAGUUAUCCGUGACUUUUACAUUAUUUUGUUAUUUAUCGAUUUAAUUAAUUACAUUUGAAUUAAUUCGGUAAUAUUAUUGGAAAUUUGAAAUUUAUAUCAUUUUUCAGGAAUGUCAAGAUGA